GAUGAACGCUGGCGGCGUGCUUAACACAUGCAAGUCGAACGGAAAGGCCCAAGCUUGCUUGGGUACUCGAGUGGCGAACGGGUGAGUAACACGUGGGUGAUCUGCCCUGCACUUCGGGAUAAGCCUGGGAAACUGGGUCUAAUACCGGAUAGGACGAUGGUUUGGAUGCCAUUGUGGAAAGUUUUUUCGGUGUGGGAUGAGCUCGCGGCCUAUCAGCUUGUUGGUGGGGUAAUGGCCUACCAAGGCGUCGACGGGUAGCCGGCCUGAGAGGGUGUACGGCCACAUUGGAACUGAGAUACGGCCCAGACUCCUACGGGAGGCAGCAGUGGGGAAUAUUGCACAAUGGGCGCAAGCCUGAUGCAGCGACGCCGCGUGGGGGAUGACGGCCUUCGGGUUGUAAACUCCUUUCGCUAGGGACGAAGCGUUUUUGUGACGGUACCUGGAGAAGAAGCACCGGCUAACUACGUG
rnacentral:rRNA from 1 species